ensembl:lncRNA
GUGUAUUUUUGCUGCAUCCAUCCAUUUCCCAAAAAAAGAACAUAACUGCCGGUGUGCUUCUGCAGGACACAGUAUCAAAGUGAUUGCUGGGAUCGAGAAGCGACUAUUUGAAGGCGAAAGUGAGAAGGGCAAAGUACCAAAGUAUUCCCUCAACGAUUUGGACAAUGACACUGUUCAACACAACAGAACAUUGAGGUAGCAACCAACUGGUGACAGACAUGAAGUUCUUCAACCAGAAACUUGGCCUGAGGGAAAACUGGACAUACAGCAUGGUGAUGCAGAAGUGCUUCGUUUGUGUGACUACCUAAAAGUAGAGGGAAGAGGAAGUAUCCAGGGAUUUCGGGAUUACAAGGACAAUAGAGCAUCCCAGACCCCAGACGCCCUGCAGCCACUACUUAAAUCUGUCCAUGCCAUUGCUGUGUCUACCAGUGAAUCAGUUCAAUCCACAACGUUAUGUAAAGUCAUGGCUUGCCAAGGGAAGAAGAUCUGCAGAUGAAACAUCAUGUGAAGCUCCUCACCAUUCAAGCAAAGCUGACCCCAAGACCUGCUGGACCCUUUUUUAAUUAGGUUAAUUGUCA